UGGCAUGGAAGCACGGCCGGAGCGAUGUUCUUACGCCUCUUGUUCGUUGCGCAGGAAGACAUGCAGGGAAAAAGAAUGUUGCAGAUGCGCAGCUUGAGUGAAGCAAUGAUUGCGAUAGCAACGCGAUGGAAUGUCAUACGGAGUAAAGCUAUGAGCAAACUUUUUUUAGCAUCCA